rnacentral:rRNA from 1 species
GAUGAACGCUAGCGGGAGGCCUAACACAUGCAAGCCGAGCGGUAGAGUCUCUUCGGAGACUUGAGAGCGGCGCACGGGUGCGGAACACGUGUGCAACCUGCCUUUAUCUGGGGGAUAGCCUUUCGAAAGGAAGAUUAAUACCCCAUAAUAUACUGGAUGGCAUCAUCUGGUAUUGAAAACUCCGGUGGAUAGAGAUGGGCACGCGCAAGAUUAGAUAGUUGGUGAGGUAACGGCUCACCAAGUCAGCGAUCUUUAGGGGGCCUGAGAGGGUGAUCCCCCACACUGGUACUGAGACACGGACCAGACCCCUACGGGAGGCAGCAGUGAGGAAUAUUGGACAAUGGGUGAGAGCCUGAUCCAGCCAUCCCGCGUGAAGGACGACGGCCCUAUGGGUUGUAAACUUCUUUUGUAUAGGGAUAAACCUAGAUACGUGUAUCUAGCUGAAGGUACUAUACGAAUAAGCACCGGCUAACUCCGUGCCAGCAGCCGCGGUAAUACGGAGGGUGCAAGCGUUAUCCGGAUUUAUUGGGUUUAAAGGGUCCGUAGGCUGAUUUGUAAGUCAGUGGUGAAAUCUCACAGCUUAACUGUGAAACUGCCAUUGAUACUGCAAGUCUUGAGUGUUGUUGAGGUAGCUGGAAUAAGUAGUGUAGCGGUGAAAUGCAUAGAUAUUACUUAGAACACCAAUUGCGAAGGCAGGUUACUAAGCAACAACUGACGCUGAUGGACGAAAGCGUGGGGAGCGAACAGGAUUAGAUACCCUGGUAGUCCACGCCGUAAACGAUGCUAACUCGUUUUUGGGUUUUCGGAUUCAGAGACUAAGCGAAAGUGAUAAGUUAGCCACCUGGGGAGUACGAACGCAAGUUUGAAACUCAAAGGAAUUGACGGGGGCCCGCACAAGCGGUGGAUUAUGUGGUUUAAUUCGAUGAUACGCGAGGAACCUUACCAAGGCUUAAAUGGGAAAUGACAGGUUUAGAAAUAGACUUUUCUUCGGACAUUUUUCAAGGUGCUGCAUGGUUGUCGUCAGCUCGUGCCGUGAGGUGUUAGGUUAAGUCCUGCAACGAGCGCAACCCCUGUCACUAGUUGCCAUCAUUAAGUUGGGGACUCUAGUGAGACUGCCUACGCAAGUAGAGAGGAAGGUGGGGAUGACGUCAAAUCAUCACGGCCCUUACGCCUUGGGCCACACACGUAAUACAAUGGCCGGUACAGAGGGUAGCUACACAGUGAUGUGAUGCAAAUCUCGAAAGCCGGUCUCAGUUCGGAUUGGAGUCUGCAACUCGACUCUAUGAAGCUGGAAUCGCUAGUAAUCGCGCAUCAGCCAUGGCGCGGUGAAUACGUUCCCGGGCCU